CCUACGGGUGGCUGCAGUGGGGAAUAUUGGACAAUGGGGGGAACCCUGAUCCAGCCAUGCCGCGUGUGUGAAGAAGGCCCUCGGGUUGUAAAGCACUUUCAGUGAGGAAGAACGCCUGGUGGUUAAUACCCAUCAGGAAAGACAUCACUCACAGAAGAAGCACCGGCUAACUCCGUGCCAGCAGCCGCGGUAAUACGGAGGGUGCGAGCGUUAAUCGGAAUUACUGGGCGUAAAGCGCGCGUAGGUGGCUUGAUAAGCCGGUUGUGAAAGCCCCGGGCUCAACCUGGGAACGGCAUCCGGAACUGUCAAGCUAGAGUGCAGGAGAGGAAGGUAGAAUUCCCGGUGUAGCGGUGAAAUGCGUAGAGAUCGGGAGGAAUACCAGUGGCGAAGGCGGCCUUCUGGACUGACGCUGACACUGAGGUGCGAAAGCGUGGGUAGCAAACAGGAUUAGAUACCCUGGUAGUC
rnacentral:rRNA from 1 species